rnacentral:pre_miRNA from 1 species
AUUCUAGCCAUGAUACGAUCAACAAACUCAGAAUUGAAGAGUAUGGCUUAAAUGCUUAGACACUCCUUUAUUCUCAGUUUGUUGCUCACAUCAUAGCCGGAAA